UACGUAGGUGGCAAGCGUUGUCCGGAUUUAUUGGGUUUAAAGGGUGCGUAGGCGGCUUUUUAAGUCAGUGGUGAAAGCCGAUCGCUUAACGAUCGAACUGCCAUUGAUACUGAGAGGCUUGAGUAUAGUUGAGGUAGGCGGAAUUGACAGUGUAGCGGUGAAAUGCAUAGAUAUUGUCAAGAACACCAAUUGCGAAGGCA
rnacentral:rRNA from 1 species